UCCCUGCUCCAGCCGCAGACCACUCAACAGGAGGAGAGGGCGGCCGUGACCAACUGGCCUGAAGCUCAGCGACCAUCAAUGCAGAAACGCACAGGCGCCGCCGCUUGCCAUGCUGGCCCCGCGGUGGUGGGCAGCAAGGCCUCGGUAGCCCCACGUGGAGCCUCACGGCGCGUGGCCGACCUGGAUGGCCCUACAGCGGCACUCAGCGCGAGCGCAGGGCUCAUGGCGCGGCCGUGGCCAUGGACAGCACGGAGGUCAGAUCGGUGCGCGGCCUUAAGCGGACGCGAGCGGCACGGCCAUGGCCCCGUUCCUGGCCCGUGCGCCUACGCUCGCUGCAUGGGGUCCGCGCGACGCGGAGGCUCGGCCCCGACGUGCGCAUCGACCACGACGCGGCCACGACCCCUGCGUGGAGGCUCGCGGAUGAGUGUCGGCGGCUCUCACAGGUCGCCUGAGAGGAGACGAUGGGUCUCAAAGACAUGCUGGGUCGAAACCCUAGCGAGAUAAGCAAUCACGUCCCCCUUUUUGUCAUCUCCUCUCUGACUGUAGAUUGAGGUUGUGUUGUCUAGUUAAUUGUUGUUCUAGAUCUGGCAUCAUUGGUAUACUCAUGCAUACUUGUAAGUGCUCUACCGGUUAUGCCUCAGAGGCUUGUUAAUUUGUCAUUUACCCUACUAGAUUUGUAUGACAAUUAGGAGGAAUUUUGGAUGGUAGGCAGCAUGUUCAGUUCAGGCUACAUUAGUCGUGUGCAGCAAAAUUUUAGAUGUAGAGGCUUAGGAGGAAAUGUGUUAUUAAAAUAUGCCUUAGCAGUCUACUGUGUGAUUGAUUGAACUUGAAACCUCAAAAAAAUAAGUUGUAGAUAAGCAUCAGGUUCUAUUUUACAAAUUUAUGUGCAAUGUUUUUCUGCUGCAAGAAUCUAAGUCUAAGUUCUGAAAACAACCCAUUAUUCUGUCAAAAUGGUGCUGAUUGUGGACUAUUCUAUUGUCUUAAUAGGUUUCAUACAAGUGAAAAUGUCAAAAAUUUUGGACUCCUAACUCAGAGAAUAUGGCUGGUGGCACUCUAGAGGAUGUGCGCUAAUGCUGAUUUAGUUUAAUUUGUGCUCUAUGUGACACCGUGCUUAAAUUACAAGGAACAUUGAGGUGCCAAUUUCAAAUUUUGCAGUGUAGAAAUCAUGGCGAAGAAAAUUGCUACAAGUGACAUAAAAUUUUCAUGAGCCAAGUGAAGCGUGCAUUCGUGCAGAAUAGCUUUCUGCUAGCAUUUUGUAAUUGUAGCACUUGUGUUAAGUUAUAGCUGAUGUUAGUUUCAUGUUUUGGAUGAUGGCAGAGAAUCUGAUACAUUUUUCCUA